rnacentral:rRNA from 1 species
AGUGAACGCUGGCGGUAGGCCUAACACAUGCAAGUCGAACGGCAGCACAGUAAGAGCUUGCUCUUACGGGUGGCGAGUGGCGGACGGGUGAGGAAUACAUCGGAAUCUACUUUUUCGUGGGGGAUAACGUAGGGAAACUUACGCUAAUACCGCAUACGACCUACGGGUGAAAGCAGGGGAUCUUCGGACCUUGCGCGAUUGAAUGAGCCGAUGUCGGAUUAGCUAGUUGGCGGGGUAAAGGCCCACCAAGGCGACGAUCCGUAGCUGGUCUGAGAGGAUGAUCAGCCACACUGGAACUGAGACACGGUCCAGACUCCUACGGGAGGCAGCAGUGGGGAAUAUUGGACAAUGGGCGCAGGCCUGAUCCAGCCAUAACGCGUGGGUGAAGAAGGCCUUCGGGUUGUAAAGCCCUUUUGUUGGGAAAGAAAAGCAGCAGGUUAAUACCCCGCUGUUCUGACGGUACCCAAAGAAUAAGCACCGGCUAACUUCGUG